UACGGAGGGUGCGAGCGUUAUUCGGAAUUACGGGGCGUAAAGCGCGUGGAGGCGGCAGGGCAAGUCUGGUGUGAAAGCCCGGGGCUCAACCCCGGAAGUGCAUUGGAAACUGCUCUGCUUGAGUACCGGAGAGGAAGGGGGAAUUCCCGGUGUAGCGGUGAAAUGCGUAGAUAUCGGGAGGAAUACCAGUGGCGAAGGCGCCCUUCUGGACGGUUACUGACGCUGAGACGCGAAAGCGUGGGGAGCAAACAGG
rnacentral:rRNA from 1 species